UUUGUAGGUGUCAAAUGCGAUUUACUAUUUGUUUGUUUCAUCCAUAUACAGAUUUCUCUUUCCCUUUUUAAUUUAUUAUUCAGAUUAAUCUGAUUAUAAAGUUAACUUGGUGUUUCUAUAUAACUACCCAUUAUAAAUUCGUAAAAUUAUAACCUUUAUUAAAUCAAAUGGUUCAUUCAAUACAUAACGGUUUACGGUUUGAAUACUCGUGCUCAAUUUAUUUCAGACUGAAUCAUAUACCAUUUAUUUCGAUUUACUUUUCAGAGUAAAGAAAUUCUACCUCUGCUAUACUCCAAUCUUUUUAAUGUAUAUAGUUGAUG